rnacentral:tmRNA from 1 species
GGGGGCGUAAUGGUUUCGACGGGGUAUCUGAAACAUUGGGUGCGGGCAGCGGAGGGGUCCGCUUCAAAAACUCCAAACUUAAAUAUAAAAGCUAACAAUAACGUAGCAUACGCUGCCUAAUUUAAAGGCAGCCGUCCUCCCUGUGAGUACCGCGGCAUAGGCUUGGGCGUCAGUAAGCGGUGAACGUGAACGGGUUUUUAGUCCCGGAACCCGUCACGGACAAGGGACUGACCGUGUCAGUAUGUUUUGUCUGCGUUGGGCUGACAUGGUUAUCUAACACAGACUACGCCCGUAGUACCUGAUGUGGACGAUGCUUCGGACGGGAGUUCGACUCUCCCCGCUUCCAUAA